ACAGCAAGAUUUAUUAUUAUUAAUACAUCCAAAAGAAAGAAAGAAAAAUCAUUUUGUCACACUAUAUACAGAUAAUACAUACAGUGUUUUAUACACAUAUUACAUCAGUUUUUACACAAGAAAAAUAUACAUAAAAAUGUAAACUUUUGUAUACAAAAACCCUUAAACAAAUUAAACAAGGACCAGAUAACAAAAGGAGACCAAUCCAUUAUUAUUUCAUCAAAUUUUUAAAACAGUAAUACAGUACAUUCAUUGAGAUAUAUAUGGAAAACGUGAGCCAUCUCUUCUUGUUUAAAGGGAAAUUACAAACCAAAAGCCCAUCUUCAAACGCAGUCUCCCCAGCAACCACACCCAACGCCCCGGUGCCUUUCGUCAGGACGGGGGCUCUGCCCGCAGCCUGCCUGUCUCACCUUCUCCUAGUCUGUGCAGAAAUGAGUGGCUCCGGGUUCUUGUGCAUAUAACUGAGCUCCCAGCCGCUACCCACACAGAUGCAGAGCAGAUUCUCAGUUUGUAAGUUCCCUUUAAGCAGUUGUUUGUUUGGUUUUUUUUUAGAUAUUUUUAAUGUAUGGCCUGUUAAACGUGUGUGCCAAGGUGAAGGAGCGCACUGAAAAAGGAGGGCUUUGAGAAUGCUAGUCCUUGCUACCGUGCAGUUACUUUGUUACAAGAGAUUUUAAAACUGUGCCACCUGCCUGUCACUCACUGGUUUCAGAUCAGCUAACUGCCUCUGAUUUCCCACUGCAACUUGAUUUCAACUCUGCCUCAGUCCACUAGUUAGUACCAUGCAACCGCCAAGGGGCUCCUGUCAAAGGCUGCUUCUGAUAUCAGGUUCCGCAAAGCUGCUGUGUGAAAUCGUCCCAACCCCAACCUCUCUAUUUCAGUUCUCAGGGGUACUCUUACUCCCCUGUUUCUUGUAAGGGCUUACAAGUUAGGAUUGUCCAUCUAUCUUCUCUCUCUGUAAAGUCUUGAAAUGUAAUCUGCUGCCAAGUCGUCAAAAUAAGAUACCUAAGUUUUUUCUUAACAUUCUUUCAUUCAGUGUACCAAAUUGGUAUACUAAUGAAAAUCCCUGAAGCUGUGAGAAUAAGAAUUGAAUCUAGGUCAAGUGCAUGCGGACUUGGAGUUCUUUUUUAAAAAAAAAAAAAAUCUGGGAAGACCCUUAACUAAAUAAAUGCGAAACAUACUUAGGACAGAAAUAAAUGCAAAACAUACUCAGGACAGCUUCACGAGAGCGGCCCUCUCAAAGCUGGAUCCUGAACAAGGUGGAACAACGAGGCGAUUUAUUUCCCUGCAGCUAGAGAGCAGUUAACUUCCUCCAGGCAAAAUGACAUCCAUGAUCAUUGUUUAUUAGCGAGAGGAAGAGGCAAACCGACGAAUGAAGUCGAUCCAGGAGAAGGAGGGUGACAUGCACUAAGGGAAAUGUUAGGAUUGCUCCGUAACUGCAAUAAACAGGCCAGGUGGAGGAACAGCUUCAUUUCAGAGAGGAAAAUGCACAGGGUCCCACAUGUGAGCCUCCAGCUCUCUCCUACUCUCACGGGACAGAUGGCGUUUUUAAAACGACAGUCUCCCUUUUAGUUAAGAAAACAUAACAGUAAAAGGAAAAGGAAGAUAAAUAAAUAACGUGUGGAUGUCUUUAGAUGAGACUUUUCAAUGUUCUUUAAAUAAUUUUUGAUAAUGUAUUUUAAAUCAUUACAUACGACUGCCAUUGCAGUGACAAUAUUCCAGUAGGGGCAGCAUUUUGCUAAAUGUAAAAGAUUGCCAUUUAAAACUCAUACAUAUACAUGUGUAUAUACAGUAUAUCAACACUAUUUAUAUACAUAUAUAUUUAGAGAGCAACGAUGCAUUGCCUUGAGUAUCUAUAUAUUCACUCUCACAAUAUAUACCAGAGACAUACUGUGUGAGUAUAUUCCAGAGUGUGUGCACACAUGCUCCCACAUGUAUGUAGACACUUCAGUCUGUGUGUGCAUAAGAGCUUUAAAGGCACAAUAUAUAGGGAUGCGAGUCUUCUAGAGAGCUGCAGCAAAGUUAGAACAAUGUCACAAAUGUGAGAAAAGGCAAAAGAUAUAGCAGAAUUCAUGACACAAGAAUUGAUUACAGCAGUUCCAUCAUGAGUAAAAUGAGCUAUAGAAUUCAAGAGGCUUCCACAUGACUUUGUAUGCUUGCAUUUAAAUGAAAAUGGUAAAUCCAUGAUUAAACUACAAAGUAAACCAAAUUAUUAAAUGGCAAAUGAAUGACAAUAGAUGAGAAAAUAAAGUUAACACUAAUAUCAAUCGUAAAGUCAUAAUUAUGUUCUUGUUUACUUUAAGUAAAAUAUCCCAAAAUCACCUAGGUAAAACUUUCAAAGUGAUUUUGUUUGAAUGUUGGCUGUUUAUUUUUGAGACAGAGAUGAAUGCCCAAUUCUCAAAAUUACUACAGAAAAUAUUACCAAAACUUACAUCUUCUGGGAAAUUUCCGAGAUAAAGAUCUUUAAAAGAAACUGAGAAGUUAAUGAAAUAUGCUUAAGCCAAAUGCUUCUGGCUAGAAAGGAUGUAAAAAAGGGAAAACACAGUGAAGUGUGAUGUUCAGAUGAUGAGAGGUUGACUUAGAAGGUGGUGAAGAUCAAGAAGAGUGGGCUUGGCAAGAAGAGUUCCAACAGGAAUUCACCUCCAUAAUAAACCUACAACCAAAGGACUUCCAUCUCAGUAUGCCCUGAUGUACUCCAGACUGUCACCUCCUCUUGCUUACAGAAUAAUCCAGAAUUUUCCAUAGAUGUAUAAUCUUGCUUAAUAAAGGCUGUUUAUCUAUUGUACACACACACAUUUUUUAUGGAAAUAUAUGUAUAUAGCUUUAUCUAUACACACACAUAUACAUACGUGUAUAUAUAGAUUUAUACAAAUGUAUAAAUAAACAUAAUACUUCUCAAACUUUCCAUUGACAAGGCAAGUUCACAUUCAGCAAAGUGCCACCACAUUCCAUAUACACAUCUCUGUACAGAUAUACACAAAAAGGUCUACUUUCGCCCUUCAAUCAGGGGGAAUUUAUUCUAGCAAAUCCCAUUAACCAGUAACCGAAGGGAGAAAUGGCACCAAUACAAGCUCCCUUCUUUCAUUUGCAUGCAUAUGUACAAGAAAUAUGUAGAUUUUUUUAUAAUCCAUAAAGCAAGAAUGAAUGAAACUGGGAGAUGCUGCAAAAAUACAACUGUAAAAGAAGAACAACGUACGAAGCUUUCCUAGGUCCUGACUGUAUCUAGGAUGAACGAUGCUGCAGGGAUAGCUACAAAUUCAGGUGUGUUAUCAGAAGUUGUUUUGACGUGUUUCAAAGUACAUGAUUUUUUUAUGUUAAAAAUAAAUGUGACUGGAGCAUUUAAUAACAACUCUAGCUUUGGCUAUUUCAGACCACCAGAUACUUCAGUAACGAAUGUAUAGCAAAAUGACAAAAUUCAAAGUAUAGGAAUGUUUUUUUAAAAAUUCCAUACGAAUCAGGUAAAAGUCAAGGGCAGCAUAAUUUUUCCUAUAACCAAAACAUGGUGGGGGGGGGGGGGGUAAGGGGCCAUGCUAACUUCAUAAAUAAUAGCACAACUGAGUAAUUUUUUAAAAAUUAUUGGAAAUAACUGAAAUCAUCCCAGCUUUGAAAUACGCAUGGUGAAAUGAUCCCACCGACUCUUUGUCCAAAAAUGGCGUUCUUUAUAAAAGGUCUAUCCUUUUCUUAACUUCACCAAGAAAAGAUGAUCAACAAUAUUUUCUAACUCAGAAUAUGAAAAAAUCUAUUAUUAACAUUAAAAAAAGGUUCAAAUGAUCUCUGGUCCCAUCACCCCAACAGAUAAACACAGCUCACGUCUGAGUCUGUCUCUCCCUCAUUUUUAUGCUCAAAGGCGAGAGGCUGGUCUUAGAACCUGCUGUUUUUCAUGCCACUUUAAAAACACAGCAUAAUAUAAGUUAACCACAAGGUUAAAAGAAAAUCACAUGAUAUCAGAACUAGCCUUUUAACAUACGAUAACAUAAUGAAAAAUUUGGUGUAUUUAUACAACAGAGACAAUGAGAAAAUAACUCCAAUACCCUCAACUAAAUAACUUGUAUUUCUACAACACAUUCUGUUACCUCUCUCUCUUUACCUAAGCACACAUUCAUCUCUCACACACGUGCCCCAAUGUCUAUUUCUGCAUGUGUGUAACAAGACAGACAUAUACACGCACACCAGCAGUUUAAUUACAUUUGUAAGUCACAGUGGGAAUUCCUUAGUGAGGAGGGAUUAAGUUCCUGAAUGAGACACUGAGAACAUCUAGGUUUAUUAUUUUCUCUAUUUUACUUCCCAACCUACAGGAUACACUGUAAAUUAAAGGAUAAAUUCAUAGGAAACAAAAGAGGUCUUACAGACUCAGUUUACCAAUUCCAGCUGCAGUAGUCGGGAGCUCACUUGAUCUAUGCAUUUCUAUUUACCCUGUAACUAGGCUCUCGCCGUCCUAAGUGGAAACCACAGAUCACUGACUAAAGAAACUGAUUCUCAGCAGUCCUACGAGAAGCAAUAAAUGGUCUAAAGGUGUCCUACGUUUCCAGGCCCAGGAUGUCCUCUUAUUUCAUGCACCUGCAAGGUAGCAAAGGACAGUUGUACACCUCGACACGGCCGGUCCAGUGUAAGAAGGUGCUCCGCUAGUUUGUUUUGCCAAAAAAAAAAAAAAAAAAAGCUCAUAUAUAAUUUUUUAGUUAUUAAA